UGCUGCUGGCUUUCUCCUUCUGGUUUUUUUUUUGCUCAACUUUUUUUUUUUAAUUUUGUGGUUUAUUUCUAUUUUUUAUAUAUGCUUGUCACUGCUUUUGGUAUUCUUUGUACAUUUUUUUUUUGUGACUUUUCGGUUUUUCUAAUUGCUCUUUCCACGUUGUUCUUCCUCUUCUCUCUAUCCACAGGUGAGUUUGCUCAACUUUUUUUCCAAUCUUCUGAUUCUCUCCUUAGUCCCUCUUCCUUUAUGUCUCUUUUGGAAUUUUCUUGUAACUUUUUUGUUUCUUCAUUACUAAGAAGUAAAAAAAUGGACAAUAUAUAAUUUGGUACAUAAUGAAUUUACAUCGUAUUUUGUGCAUAUGUUUCAAAAUUGCUUCAAAAUAUAAUUUUCAGAUAUGAUUUUCUCUGAUUUUCAGCAAGUCUGCGCUGCAUGUGUUAGCUUGGUGGUAUUAAUGUUUCUAAAGUAUGAAUCUUUUUACUUUUUAAUUUUUGGUUUUCUUUAUUUGUGACCCUGUCACUGAUUUUUGUUGUUGGGUCUCGGAUACCAUUUUGUUGCUUGUUCUUUUGUUUGAUUUUGUGGGUAUUCAGCAAAUUUAGGCGUCAUUGUAGCGUAUGUCUCCCUUAUUAAGUUUUCCCUCUUUUUUUUAUCCAUCUUUAAAUUGUUAAACUAAUAUUCUUUAUCCCUUUUUCUUGAAAUUUAAGUACGUCAGAGAGUAUAAUAUUGGAGAAAUAAGUAAAAAAAAUAGAUGUUUGGGGAAUACCUAAGAUUUACUUUAGGGAAUGAAUAAAUGUAGCAGAAAUUUCAUUUGAAAAUGGAAGUUGCUCAAGUUGGGAAGAAAGAUUAAGUUGUGAGUUUACCGUGCUGUGUGUUUUCGCCCUUAUGCUUGUAGAACAAAAUUAGUCCUAGUAGAUUGAUUCUCUCCAUGCCCUUACAUUUGUAGGUUUUUACAUUAGGCGAAAAAAAUAUGUUGCCAGCCGGGAAAAGAGGAAAUCUUCAGUAAUACUUUCAUUUGUAUCUUGGCAUUUAGGAUAUUGCGCAGAUAUAAUACAAUAACUUCGUUGGUACCUCGCAGAACUCUUGUAAUCACAUCAGUUUGUUUUCUUAGAAUAUUAUUUAUUAUUCAAAUAUUUUUGGUGAAUUAGGUGUGUAUUAUAGAUUCGUAGCUCGGCUUCGGAGCAGGUCAAUAUAGUGAACAUCUGAAUGAUAUAUAUACUAUGUUGGAUUUUUAUCAAGUGUUAGAAAUGAUUAUUGAUACAUAUCAACCUGUUUCAAACAGAUAGAACUUAUUAUCCUUACAUUUUGUAGGACUGUCAAGUAAUUUUACCCUACAAAUAGCCUCACCAGAUAGAUUCAUAAAUAUGUAUUUUGCCAUAUGUUGCAUUGUUAUCCGCUCAGAUUAUUGUUAUUGUCUCUUUGAGUCAGGGCCAACAGCUAUUGCUACUUAUUUUUAGGUGAAUCAUGUCUUAAGUUUUCUUCUUUACGAACUUACUCAUAGGAGAAUUAAAGAACGCUAUGAUGUAGAUGAUACAAGAGUCCUAGAAAGUAGAAACUUCAUAUAUGUAACUUCUGUCAAUUUUCUUAAUUACAGUUUUUGGACCUUUUUUGGCUAUUGUGUGCUCCCUUUUUCUCAAAUUACUCUUUGUAUUCCUAUUUGGGACAAUUCCUCGAAUUUUGAAGCAAAGAUAUCUUAACCCUGGCGUUAGAGGACUUCGGUACAAUAAAUUAAAAUAACUUGAGAUGCUUGUAUUUUUUUGAACCUUAAACAUCUAGCUGAAACAAGUUGCUCAGAAAGAUGCUUUCUAAUGUUAGAUCAGAGGUGAUAUAUUUAUUAAACCAUACGGAGGAAAACUUAUGCCACAUAUUACUGCUUCAAAUGUUAUUUCUUAGCUUUGUUUGACUUCUUUGCUUUCAAUAAUUUUUGUACAUGACUAAAAUGAAAGUUGAUUUUAUCUCAUGCAACCUUUGUGUGAUAGGUUUGUGGUUCGAUUUUCUUUAUUAUUUGCCAUCAUAUUGGUCUUGUGAAAAAUGUAUGAUAAUAAAAGGGGAAGAGCUUUGUUCAUGCUAUAGUUUUACUGAACAAAUUGGAAAAACUGGAAUUUACCAGAGAAUCUUUGCACACUGCUACUAUUCUGUUGCAGCCACAUUUUUAAUUUUAAAGUAUCUAAUGUUGGCAUGUCAUGGGCCUAGAAUGGUGUAAUUACUAUAGUGGUUGAUGAUCUUUGAUAUUGGAGGUCAUGUGGAAGAGCUGACCAACCUAAUUUAGUUGUUUGAGAAGUAUAUGUUUCCUUUCGUAUUCUUUAUUCUUAAUAUUCGUUGGUGAUUUUAGCAGUUUAUUGUCUUUUUGAUAGGCGGGAUACAGAUAUCAGCACUGACUGCUACUCAGAGUUGGCAUUGCAUUUUUGGCGCUUCCCAUCAUUAUUUAAGUGCAUAACACGUAAGGCUGCAAGACAAAUAACCGAGACUGGAAAACUCUUUUUAACUUUUUGCUGCUAACUAAUAAAGAUAUUGCACUCUAUGACAUUCAUAUUCCAUAGUUCACCUGCACCACAUAAUUAAAACUUGCAGUAUGGCAUGCUAAUCAAGGAUUUUAUUAUUUUUGGCCUAGGAACUAUUAGGAAGAAAUUUACUAUGUGGGUCAUGAUAUGUCAAGUUAAAGUGUAGAACGCAAAAAACAACAACAACAACUACCCAGUAUAGUCCCACAAGGUGGGGUCUGGGACGCAAAAAAGAGAAUGUCAAUUACACUUACCUCCAUUUAGCUCUUAGAUCUUGUACCUCCAAGAUAAACUAUGAGCUGUCAACUGUUAAAAUCCGAAUUUUAUCUGUGUAGCAUCAACUUUUUUAUUAGUUGGAUCACCAAUAUGAAUUUGAAUAAUCCGUCUUAUUUUUGUAUUUCUCAUUCUCAUGGAAGCAAGCUCAAGAAUGUAUUUGUACAACUUUGUUCACAAGUGAAUGUACAUAGUAUGAAGCAUAUUAUAUUAAUAUUUCUCAAUGUCGGACCACUUUUGUACAUCGA